GAUGAACGCUGGCGGCGUGCUUAAUACAUGCAAGUCGAACGAACGGACGCGACUUUUGCUGCACUGAAGUUAGGGGCGGAUGGGUGAGUCAUACGUGGAUUACCUUCCUAUAAGACUGGGAUAACUUAGACAAACCGUAGCUCAUGCCGGAUACUAUUUUGAACCGCAUGGUUCAAAAGUGAAAGACGGUCAUGCUGUCAUUUCUAGAUGGAUCCGCGUUGCAUUGGCUAGUUGGUAAGGUAACGGCUUACCAAGGCAACGAUGCAUAGCCGACCUGGGAGAGUGAGCGGCCACACUGGAACUGAAACACGAUCCUGGCUCCGACGGGAGGCAGCAGUAGGGAAUCUAGCACAAUGGGCGGAAGCCUGACGGAGCAACGCCACUUGAAUGAUGAAGGUCCUCGUAUCGGAAAACGCUGUUAUUAUGGAAGAACAUAUGUGUUAGUAACUGUGCACAUCUUGACGGUACCUAAUCAGAAAGCCACGGCUAACUACGUG
rnacentral:rRNA from 1 species